rnacentral:rRNA from 1 species
UACGGAGGGUGCAAGCGUUACUCGGAAUCACUGGGCGUAAAGAGUGCGCAGGCGGGCUUGUAAGUCAGAUGUGAAAUCCUGUAGCUUAACUACAGAACUGCAUUUGAAACUAUGAGUCUAGAGUGUGGGAGAGGUAGGUGGAAUUCUCGGUGUAGCAGUGAAAUGCGUAGAUAUCGAGAGGAACACUCGUGGCGAAGGCGGGUUCCUGGACAUUAACUGACGCUGAGGCACGAAGGCCAGGGGAGCGAAAGGG